rnacentral:lncRNA from 1 species
UCGAUCCCUAAGUACUACAUCUGAACCUCUUUUGAUGAGAGUAGCACUCCUUAGGGUAAUUUGAGUGGUAUCAUUAGUGUUAAAACCGUCGAGAUGCCCGCAUCGAUCGAUGGCAGUAAUGCCUCGUUGAUCGAUGUCCUCUUUAAAGACAAAUUAUAAUUUCUAAAUUUUCUAAAUAAUGGUAAUAUACGGAAAUUACUAUUAAUUACUAGUAAUAUAAUUUAUUAAUUUUAAUUAAUGAUUUUUGAAAUUAAAUUAUUAUUAUUUUAUUAUUAUUAUUAUUAUUAUUUAUUUUUUUUUUUAUAAAAAUGGGUUGCCUCCCAUUCAGCACUUAAUUUUUAAGUCUUUAGCUCGACUUCCUGAUUAAACUAAUUAUCAGGUUCAUACAGCACCAUGGGCACUUUCGCUGGUAGUUUUGUCCAAUAAUGCUUAACUCGUUGGCCAUUCACCGUAAAUUCCUGGCCUUUCUCAUUUUGUAAGGUG